rnacentral:other from 4 species
CGCCGACUGCGCUUUGUGGCAGGAGACAAUUCCCCGGGGCCUUACGCAUCCUAAGGGAGCUGGCGCUGGCCGGGUCCGUGGACCCGAUCAUCUGGCACCCACCUACUUCUGUAGGUUCCCGGGAUGCCGUUCUCCACCGACUGCCGCGGUUGGCAA